CGGUAAUACGUAGGGAGCGAGCGUUGUCCGGAUUUAUUGGGCGUAAAGGGUGCGUAGGCGGUUAAAUAAGUCAGGUGUUAAAUUAAGGGGCUCAACCCCUUACCGCACUUGAAACUAUUUAGCUUGAGUGGUGGAGAGGGAAGUGGAAUUCCUAGUGUAGCGGUGAAAUGCGUAGAUAUUAGGAGGAACACCGGUGGCGAAGGCGGCUUUCUGGACUGCAACUGACACUGAGGCACGAAAGCGUGGGGAGCAAACAGGAUUAGAUACCCUGGUAGUCCACGCCGUAAACGAUGAGCACUAGGUGUCGGGUUCGCAAGAGUUCGGUGCCGCAGUUAACGCAUUAAGUGCUCCGCCUGGGGAGUACGUGCGCAAGCAUAAACUCAAAGGAAUUGACGGGGACCCNCACAANCACCGAACAUGUGGUUAAUUC
rnacentral:rRNA from 1 species